rnacentral:rRNA from 1 species
GUUUUAAAUGGAUUGAACGAGAGAGUUUGAUCCUGGCUCAGAUUGAACGCUGGCGGCAUGCCUAACACAUGCAAGUCGAACGGUAGCAGGCCUUCGGGUGCUGACGAGUGGCGGACGGGUGAGUAAUGCGUAGGAAUCUGUCUUUUAGUGGGGGACAACCCAGGGAAACUUGGGCUAAUACCGCAUGAGCCCUGAGGGGGAAAGCGGGGGAUCUUCGGACCUCGCGCUAAGAGAAGAGCCUACGUCUGAUUAGCUAGUUGGUAGGGUAAAGGCCUACCAAGGCGACGAUCAGUAGCUGGUCUGAGAGGACGACCAGCCACACUGGGACUGAGACACGGCCCAGACUCCUACGGGAGGCAGCAGUGGGGAAUUUUUCGCAAUGGGGGCAACCCUGACGAAGCAAUGCC